rnacentral:rRNA from 1 species
UGGCGGUGCGCCUUAUGCAUGCAAGUCGAGCGAAGCUUUUCAGUAGUUUACUACAGAAAAUGACUGAGCGGCGAACGGGUGAGUAACGCGUGAGCAAUCUACCUUAGUUACAGGGAUAGCCCGAGGAAACUCGGAUUAAUACCUGAUAUUCUUUAUAUUUCGCAUGAAAUUAAAAGGAAAGGUCAGCCGAACUAAGAUGAGCUCGCGUUCUAUCAGCUAGUUGGUGAGGUAAAAGCUCACCAAGGCUACGACGGAUAGCUGGUCUGAGAGGACGAUCAGCCACACUGGGACUGAGACACGGCCCAGACUCCUACGGGAGGCUGCAGCAGGGAAUAUUGCGCAAUGAGCGAAAGCUUGACGCAGCGACACCGCGUGUGGGAUGACGGAUCUAGGUUUGUAAACCACUUUCAGGAGGGAAGAAAAUGACGGUACCUCCACAAGAAGCCCCGGCCAACUACGUGCCAGCAGCCGCGGUAA